AUUGAACGCUGGCGGCAUGCCUAAUACAUGCAAGUCGAGCGGAGCGGAGGACGGGUGAGUACUGCCUAGGAAUCUGCCCGGUAGUGGGGGAUACCGUCCGGAAACGGGCGCUAAUACCGCAUACUAUCAGAUGAGCCUCGGUCGGAUUAGCUAGUUGGUGGGGUAAUGGCCUACCAAGGCGACGAUCCGUAACUGGUCUGAGGGGAUGAUCAGUCACACUGGAACUGAGACACGGCCCAGACUCCUACGGGAGGCAGCAGUAGGGAAUAUUGGACAAUGGGCGAAAGCCGGAUCCAGCCAUGCCGCGUGAGUGAAGAAGGUCUUCGGAUUGUAAAGCUCUGUAAGUAGGGAGGCGUUACCAACAGAGUAAGCACCGGCUAACUACGUGCCAGCAGCCGCGGUAAUAC
rnacentral:rRNA from 1 species